CAAACUUCUCAAUUUCAGAAAGAUCUCGGCAGAGAUACAGAGGAAACGCAAAGCCGCCAAACUUCGAAGGGGUGGAGCAGGAGGCGAAGCAAAUGGCGGAGACCCCGAGCAAGGUCGAAUCGAUGAGGAAGUGGGUCGUCGACCACAAGCUCCGAGCCGUAGGUUGUCUAUGGCUAGCUGGGAUCACUAGCUCGGUCGCGUACAACUGGUCGCGGCCCACUAUGAAGACCAGCGUCAAGCUCAUCCACGCAAGGUUGCAUGCUCAGGCUCUAACGCUGGCUGCCUUAGUUGGUUCUGGAUUAGUAGAGUACUAUGAUCGAGAGUAUGGCUCUUCUGGACCAAAGGUGGACAGAUACACUAGGCAAUACAUGUCACACUCGCAUAAAGAUUAAGCUCUUCAUGCUCGAAGCUGGAUACUGGAUUAGUUUUAGGUUCUUCUUUGGGUGCCAUUAACUGGUCCCCGUGAUGGUUCCUAGAGUCUCUGGUACUGCGAAACGAAAUUAUAUACUUGCCAGGAAUUUCCUGAGCAAUGAGGUCGUAAUACAGAUAUGGUCUGCAUAACUUGAACCUCAGAUUGCACCCUGUAACAAAGUUUGUUGGCAAUCUUGGUACUAUUGGUACUUCUUUUCUCUGGUUAUAAAAAAGAGGGAGUUCCUCUGCUGCACUGAAUUAUCUGA